rnacentral:rRNA from 1 species
UACAGAGGUCCCGAGCGUUGUUCGGAUUCAUUGGGCGUAAAGGGUGCGUAGGCGGCGAGGCAAGUCUGGUGUGAAAUCCCGGGGCUCAACCCCGGAACUGCACUGGAUACUGCCUUGCUAGAGUACUGGAGAGGGAACUGGAAUUUACGGUGUAGCAGUGAAAUGCGUAGAUAUCGUAAGGAAGACCAGUGGCGAAGGCGAGUUCCUGGACAGUUACUGACGCUGAGGCACGAAGGCCAGGGGGAGCAAAACGGG